UACGAGGGGUGCAAGCGUUGCUCGGAAUUAUUGGGCGUAAAGGGUAGGUAGGUGGUCUGAUUUGUCCGGGGUGAAAGCCUUGAGCUUAACUCAAGAAGUGCCCCAGAAACGGUCAGACUCGAGUCCUGGAGAGGGUCGUGGAAUUCCCGGUGUAGCGGUGAAAUGCGUAGAGAUCGGGAGGAACACCAGUGGCGAAGGCGGCGACCUGGACAGGUACUGACACUCAACUACGAAAGCGUGGGGAGCAAACAGG
rnacentral:rRNA from 1 species